AGCUGCUUUACAAUAAAUUCUUUUGCACGGCCAAUUUCCUUUUUUGAAGCUCCAUUGGCGACGGAACAAAUUUCCUUUACAGUUCGGGGUUUGUCUUCUUGCCUACAAGCAAUAUAUAAGCACGCAGCCAAAAUUGCUUCAAGAUUCCUUCCUUUGAUGGACUUGAGAUCCUCCACUUUCUUAUAUAUCUCAUUUGCCCGAUCCUUGAUAGUGGCG
rnacentral:misc_RNA from 1 species